rnacentral:rRNA from 1 species
UACGUAGGUGGCAAGCGUUGUCCGGAUUUACUGGGCGUAAAGGGUGCGCAGGUGGUCGGGUAAGUCUGACGUGAAAUCCCGCAGCUUAACUGCGGAAUGGCAUUGGAUACUAUUCGGCUAGAGGGUUGGAGGGGGGACUGGAAUUCUCGGUGUAGCAGUGAAAUGCGUAGAUAUCGAGAGGAACACCAGUGGCGAAGGCGAGUCCCUGGACAACUCCUGACGCUGAGGCACGAAAGCUAGGGGAGCAAACAGG